GCUCGAGUAGCACAGUUGGAUAGUGCAUCUGCCUUCUAAGCAGAGGGUCGUGGGUUCGAAUCCCGCCUCGAGUA
rfam:Fibrobacter sp. TWOS genome assembly, contig: Ga0136287_101